GACAGAGGAGCCAAGCGUUGUCCGGAUUUACUGGGCGUAAAGCGCACGCAGGCGGCUUGGCGCGUGGGGUGUGAAAGCUCUUGGCUUAACUAAGAGAGGCCAUCCCAUACGGCUAAGCUCGAGCCAUGCAGAGGUCCGCGGAAUUGCCGGUGUAGUGGUGAAAUGCGUAGAGAUCGGCAGGAACACCCAGGGGGAAACCAGCGGACUGGGCAUGCGCUGACGCUCAGGUGCGACAGCGUGGGGAGCGAACCGG
rnacentral:rRNA from 1 species